AGUGAACGCUGGCGGUAGGCCUAGCACAUGCAAGUCGAACGGCAGCACAGUAAGAGCUUGCUCUUACGGGUGGCGAGUGGCGGACGGGUGAGGAAUACAUCGGAAUCUACUUUUUCGUGGGGGAUAACGUAGGGAAACUUACGCUAAUACCGCAUACGACCUACGGGUGAAAGCAGGGGAUCUUCGGACCUUGCGCGGUUGAAUGAGCCGAUGUCGGAUUAGCUAGUUGGCGGGGUAAAGGCCCACCAAGGCGACGAUCCGUAGCUGGUCUGAGAGGAUGAUCAGCCACACUGGAACUGAGACACGGUCCAGACUCCUACGGGAGGCAGCAGUGGGGAAUAUUGGACAAUGGGCGCAAGCCUGAUCCAGCCACACCGCGUGGGUGAAGAAGGCCUUCGGGUUGUAAAGCCCUUUUGUUGGGAAAGAAAAGCAGCAGGUUAAUACCCCGCUGUUCUGACGGUACCCAAAGAAUAAGCACCGGCUAACUUCGUG
rnacentral:rRNA from 1 species